UAGGCUCAGAGACUCCAGUGCAGCCACAUGGUGGAAGAAGAUUUAUGCAUAGAAAAAUCAAAGUGACAUUAAAAAAACAGAAAUGAGAGUCUCUGGAUUCACGGGUCUGGAUAGGUGGCCAUGAUGACGUCUGGAGAUUUGUUCUAAGUGCCGAGACCAGAAGCUACAAGCCAAAAUUAAGCCCAACAUGGUCCCUUCUACCUCUGCUUUUCCUGUUUUGCCUCCUGGCUAUUUUCGGAGGAGUUGGAUCUUUCAGAACCCAAUGAUUGGAUUUCUGGAAACAUCAGAGAAAGACUGUCCUGCCAUCUACUCUGUAGCAAAACUUUGGGACCUCAAACCUUGGGUUUAUAAUCUCACAACUCAGAAGAGUCCUUCCACACUCUUGGAACUGUACACCCAUUGGAAUCCUUAAGGUGAAGCUAACCAGUGAGGUUUCUCCCCAGAAGAAGAUGGCAUCCUUGAUGGGGACAGCUUUUUCUCAAGAUUAGAGAUUGAGACUUCUCUACUAUCAUGAGACUCUUAUCUUUCAUUUUUUUCCCUUGCUUAUGCCUCUUUGAACAAUAGAAAAAGAAAAACAGGUUUUCUGUGUGCACUCACAGGGUUUACUUUUAUUUGUGAAGGAUUUUCGAGCCAGCCUUAUACAUGAAUAACUUUAUGCCUUGACAGAUGAAAGUUGAAGGUCCAAUGUAUGUGAGCAAGUUUAAUGUUACAUACAUUGCCUCAUAAUCAGUCAGAAACAGAAUGUUGCUCCACUCUUCUUAACCUACAUUAUGCAUCAAAGAAAACAUUGCCAGAAGGUCUUCACUCUUCUAGAAGGGCUUCAUUUUUUAGAUUAUUUUAUCCAUUGUUUGGAGUAAAUGAGGCAAUGAUUAGAAAUUUACCC
rnacentral:lncRNA from 1 species